rnacentral:snoRNA from 1 species
AUUAGAGGUGAUGAUGAUAAUUGUUGUGAUCCCAGCUCACUAUGAGACCUUGUCAAGGUCCGGGAAUUGACACUAUCUACACACUUAUCUGAGCUUUAU